UUUGUACUCCCUCCGUCAAAAAAGUCUUCUCUUAAAUUUGUCUAAAUACGGAUGUAUCUAGUUACAUUUUAGUGUUAGAUACAUCCGUAUCUAAACAAAUGUAAGACAAGAAUUUUGGGACGGAGGGAAUACUAC
rfam:Triticum aestivum genome assembly, contig: Triticum_aestivum_CS42_TGACv1_scaffold_226438_3B